rnacentral:rRNA from 1 species
AAUGGGGGCAACCCUGAUCCAGCCAUGCCGUGUGAAUGAAGAAGGCCUUAGGGUUGUAAAGUUCUUUCAGUUGCGAAGAUAAUGACGGUAACAACAGAAGAAGCUCCGGCUAAAUUCGUGCCAGCAGCCGCGGUAAUACGAAUGGAGCGAGCGUUGUUCGGAAUCACUGGGCGUAAAGCGUGCGCAGGCGGAUUUGCAAGUCAGGAGUGAAAUCCCAGGGCUCAACCCUGGAACUGCUCUUGAAACUGCAAGUCUAGAGUCCCGGAGAGGUAAGGGGAAUUCCGAGUGUAGAUGUGAAAUUCGCAGAUAUUCGGAGGAACACCAGUGGCGUAGGCGCCUUACUGGACGGGUACUGACGCUCAGGCACGAAAGCAUGGGGAGCAAACAGGAUU